rnacentral:tRNA from 1 species
CUUUUGGUAGCUUAAACUGUAAAGCUUUAGAUUUUUAUUCUAAAUAUGACUUGGUUGUUUCAAAAGG